rnacentral:rRNA from 1 species
GACGAACGCUGGCGGCGUGCCUAAUACAUGCCAGUCGAGCGGACGGAUGGGAGCUUGCUCCCAGACCGUCAGCGGCGGACGGGUGAGUAACACGUGGGCAACCUGCCUGUAAGACUGGGAUAACUCCGGGAAACCGGGGCUAAUACCGGAUAACUCUUUCCCUCACAUGAGGGAAAGCUGAAAGAUGGCAUCUCGCUAUCACUUACAGAUGGGCCCGCGGCGCAUUAGCUAGUUGGUGAGGUAACGGCUCACCAAGGCGACGAUGCGUAGCCGACCUGAGAGGGUGAUCGGCCACACUGGGACUGAGACACGGCCCAGACUCCUACGGGAGGCAGCAGUAGGGAAUCUUCCGCAAUGGACGAAAGUCUGACGGAGCAACGCCGCGUGAGUGAUGAAGGUGUUCGGAUCGUAAAACUCUGUUGUCAGGGAAGAACAAGUACCGGAGUAACUGCCGGUACCUUGACGGUACCUGACCAGAAAGCCACGGCUAACUACGUG